AAGCGCUAUUGAUUAUAUAGUACUAAACUUUCAGCACUUAAACUAUUCAAGUUAUUUCAGUUCGAUCUGAUCAUUUGAUUUCAGCGCAGUCACCGAGAGGAACAAGGUCAAUUUUUGACUUUCGAAUGAUUUCCAAGGUAAUCGAAAAUUUGUUUCGCUAAAAGUGUAUGAGAAUCACGUGAUGUAGAACAUUGAUUAGCAUUUAAGCUUUGUACUUUACAUCUCAUUUCAAUCAGUAAAUGAUUUUCAAAAGGAAAGGUCUAGUAUAAGUUGCUGACCCGAAAUUAAACAAGCCUUAAGCUAACCUGUAGCCAACGGCCCGCCACAGAAAUCGAAUAAUUGCAAUAUCGUCAAUAAAUAACAAUCAAAUUAUACGAUUUGUGGGGGAUCACUUCGUCGGCAUUACUUCCUACGCGGAACAAAACUAACUUCGCAAGUAAGCUGAAGUUAAAGCAUUUACAAGACAGUGUCGGAAACAUAGAGACGCUCCCACGCGAGAACAAGAAUUUCUUCGCCUUUGAAACCAGAUAUUUCGUUUUGUUUGUACAGUGACAGUUGAUUGAUUAAAUUAGUGAUUCUCAUAUUACCUACAUGUAAAGAAGCGAUUACACAUUAGACACACAAUAAACAAUUUGGAAUUACGCCUACGCUUGGUUUAUUAUAACGAGAUGCUAUUUUCCUAUGACGUUAUUGGUUAUUAAUUAGUCAGUUAGAAUCUAAGAAGUCUUACGACUGUACACAUAUGUAGGUUUUAAAGUAUUAACUUUGUAAUUAAUAUCUGUUUUAGGCUAACACAACUCCUGAAGCUAUUAAGCUUUAAUCUCAGUAGUGUUAAAUAAAAGGUUUUAUUUCAAUACUUUCUUUUGAAACCGAGCCAGAGCGCUAUACUUUUAAGCAUAGAGUUAAAACUUAAAUGCAAAGGAUGAACCGACUUUUUAACUGAAGAAUUUCGCGAAGUUCAUGUUGAAGAGCCCCAACCUUACCUGGCACUCAAACUAGAGACUGGCCCAAGACAGACGAGAGUGUAGAGCUUUCGUUGCUGUCCUACAUCUCAGGAGGCAUAAUGGGAAAGAUAGAUGUUGUGAUAUGAUGGAUUUAGCUGGUUUACUGAUUUGAUGAAAAGAUGCUAAUGAUAAUUCUUUUGAGGUCGACGAUAACUCAAAUGGCGUGGAUAACAAAAAAAAAAUAUUUGAAUGCCGGCCAGCAUAGAAACUGGAAACUUCCUGAAUGCUUUAGAAAAGGAUUUCCUGGCCUCAGAUUUGGAGCAAUUGACAAUCCAUGCUGAUGAUGUACACAAGAAGAAAAGUCUCUCCAAACUUCCAAUUAUUUCAAAUUUAAUUGAACUGAUAAGCCAUACUUGUUAAAACUGGCGUUCACUAAACUUUCCUCUAAUCGCUCUACCGUGACUCGUAAUCUUUAAAGCGGUACAUGUCCGAACAGGUAUUUAGCAACCUUAACAUAAUAGAGCGCUAUGUUUUCACAAGACUGACAUUUUUGGCUUUGGUUCAUGAAAAAAAAAACAUGCCAAAAAAAACAUACGACAUUUCUUUAUCAAGCGUUGUGCAAUUACUCAAUGACAAUUAGCACGAUUUUUCAGAGUUCAGGUCAUUCCACUAAUGUUUGUAAGUAGUGGGACGUUCUAAUGUUUCCGCGUCUUUCAGAUAAACCUCAUCAAAAUUGGUUAAUCUGAACCUAUUCCACCACUUAGUAAGCGCUUUGUCUGAUGAAUAAAACUUUUCACUUGGGCGUAGAUUUGUGCAAACACAACACAGAUUACAAGUGUGUCCCCAAGCUCACCUCAGUGAACAGAGCUUAGUUUUAGUGCAGAAGAAGGCGAGCAGAACAAGAAGAAGAAUGGUGUUUAACCCGUUAUUUCAUUCGUGCUUUUUGAUAGCACCUGUCUCGCCCCUCCCGCUUGCCUCAUGCUACCCCUUACCCGCUAAAACGGAGAUAAAUUACGUCUUCUCUGCAGACUAGUUUAUCGAGCGAGAAAUUUGAAAAGUCGCACACACUGACGGGAGGUCGGAAGCGAUACUCUUACACGUUUCAUCGUAAUGAAACGAGCAUAAGCUUCGGCUGCAAGGAAGCGUUACACUCGUGUGACAUUUGAAAGGCUAUAAAGAAGUUUUUGCCACUCUUACUUUGUAGCGCAGCGAAGUACUCUGAGGAUUCCCACUAAUUGCCCCUCAGCCAACGGAAUGUUCCUUUAUGAUAGUUUGUAUGGAAACUAACAUCUACUUGCUAAGGUAGACCCAGCCAUACCUUAUUAGUCUGGAUUGUUCCACCCGUUUUGGCCUAAAUAAACGCUUUAGCUUAAAAUUACGCUUUGGCAACGUUUACCAGCACUGUUUACAACCGGAUAAUCAUAUGCACAAGGAAAAUAUUUGGCUCGAGGUCAGGGCGUACAAACCGAGUUCAGAGAGGUCCGUGCGUCAUGAACGAGAGUCAAGUAUUUUCCCAUCCGGCCUUCCCAGUGCAUAUGAUUAUCCGUUAUAACUUGGCUAACCCAACUCAUUCAAUAAGUAUUUUAUCAUGUGACCACUGAUUAAAAAUUCGAAAAGUUUGUUUAGCUUAAAUAGGACGCG
rnacentral:lncRNA from 1 species